UCUUUUACAGUUCUGCUUAUUCUCAUUCAAGGAGAUUGUGAUCAAACUGCAGGAAGUAAAGAGUGGCCUACUAGAGAUGAGAAAAUAGAAAGGCAUUCCCUGAGAGAAGACUGGUAUCGUGGUUGAAACAUGCUCACAAAAACAUUCUGCAUGACCAGGCAAAGAUGAAGUCAAGAGCAGCAACAAUAAGUUCGACUGAUGUAAAUGUCAGGUUGGACAGGGAGCCCCCACCUGGGCAGGGAGCCAGACCUCACUUACACUGCUUCUGUUGCCUGUCAAAUUGCAACAAUAGGAUCACAGUGAAGCAGCAUCCUCUCCAAACAGGGACCCCCUGCUGCAUAACAAGCCCACGUAUCCUUUUUCAGCAGUGAAAAGGUUAGUAUCCCUUAUUGUGUAUAUCAAGGGUCAAAAUGUAAAAUCAAGGCUCUUAUCCAC
rnacentral:lncRNA from 1 species